UCCUGGGUAGCUCAGCUGGUUAGAGCGUGGCGCUGAUAAUGCAAAGGUUUCAAGUUUGACCCCCCUAUGGAA